CAGCAGCCGCGGUAAUACGUAGGGUGCAAGCGUUAAUCGGAAUUACUGGGCGUAAAGCGUGCGCAGGCGGUUUGUUAAGACAGAUGUGAAAUCCCCGGGCUCAACCUGGGAACUGCAUUUGUGACUGGCAAGCUAGAGUGUGGCAGAGGGGGGUGGAAUUCCGCGUGUAGCAGUGAAAUGCGUAGAUAUGCGGAGGAACACCGAUGGCGAAGGCAGCCCCCUGGGCCAACACUGACGCUCAUGCACGAGAGCGUGGGGAGCAAACAGGAUUAGAUACCCCAGUAGUCCCUGUCUCUUAUAC
rnacentral:rRNA from 1 species